rnacentral:tRNA from 1 species
GCCUGGAUGGCUUACUCAGUUGGGCAUCUGACUUUGGCUCAGUUCAUGACCUCACAGUUUAUGGGUUCGAACCCCACUUCACGCU